rnacentral:rRNA from 1 species
UACGUAGGGGGCAAGCGUUGUCCGGAAUUAUUGGGCGUAAAGAGCGCGUAGGCGGUCCGUUAAGUCGGCUGUGAAAGUCAGGGGCUCAACCCUUGAAAGCCGGCCGAUACUGUCGGACUAGAGUCCGGAAGAGGCAAGUGGAAUUCCCGGUGUAGCGGUGAAAUGCGCAGAUAUCGGGAGGAACACCAAUGGCGAAGGCAGCUUGCUGGGACGGUACUGACGCUGAGGCGCGAAAGCGUGGGGAGCAAACAGG